AUCACAUUACCUGAUUUGAUCAGUGUUUGCUACGUUCCUACAGUACAACGCAGAAGUUUCGAUGGUACUCAUGCCUUGCACCUGUGGAUUGCACCACAAAGGAAGGGAGUGUGUCAGAUGUGCAUUCAGCCAGCGUCGUAGCCAACGGAAGGUCAACCGGGACAUGGAGUAGACAGCCACCCAAGCGCCGGUCUGGGGCAGGAGGAUGCCGUUACACCCUGAGGCACCAUCUUGCCAACCGUGCAAGUGAACACAGAUGCAUGUUCAUAUAUGUGAACAUAAUUGGUCACCUUUCAGAUUGGGUGAGAGGAGGACAAGGCUGAGAAAUGAACAAAUUUGUUCACACUGAUGAAUAUUUUCUUUAAAUCCUACUGAUUGCAUUUUUAAGAGCUGUUUUUCCUCAUCUGGAAGCUGCUUUUUGUAAAGGGGUGUACCGUACUGUAAUAUUUACUGUGUUACAGAUGCUAUGGUUCAUUUUAAAUGUUAUAUUUUAAAUAAAUCACAGUGGCAUACAAGUUAAACUUAGGAAAGGUG